ACCAAUAUGCCUGAUGAUUGCUUAUAUUUUCUACAUCCACUGAUUUUUUACACCACACAGAUCAGAGGUCUGAUAAAACUGGCCACCUGCCUUUGCCACAUCUGUGCAUGACUAAUUUUCUGACUGGUCAUUCCUACAAAUCAGACUGUUCCAUUUGAUUAUUUUGGGGAAAGAUAACAUUUCCUAUCCUGAAUUUGUAAAAAAAAGGACAUUGCAUUUUCUUUUUCAAAAAUGUAUAAUGAUUUUUAAAAUUUACAUAUCUUUUAGUUAUUUGAUUUUUUUCACAUUCAAUGAUUGUAAGAUAGAAAUGAUGAGUGCUUUGAUUUUUGGUUUUACCCUGUUUUACAUAAUAUUGGACCUGCCCAGGUACACUGUUGUAAGUCUAAAACAUUUUGGUUAGCAAGCUGGUGGAAAUCACAGAGAAUCUACUUGAUGUUUUAGGAAUUUUAGAGAUAUUGUUUUGUUUAAGAUGUUUAAGUAUAGUUAUGGUAAAUAAGAAUGACAAGAAGAAUCACCUGGGACAAGAAGAUAUACAACAAAAUCAGGCUAGUGGGACCAGUUCUUACUUUGAGAUGCCAGGUGAAUAAUGAUAUGCAGUAUAUUGAGCCUGAAAAGGUGAACACAGCCACAUGAAGUUCUCCGAGGAAACAGAAACAGAGCACUGAAACAGACAUCAAUAAAGGAAAUAGUAGUUUGAAUAAUCAGAAAUGUUU